UGUGUGUGUGUGUAAUACCGCCGUUCAGUACAUGCAAAUGUGUGUAAGCCGUAUACAGAGUACUACACAAGGCUAGAGACCAAAGGUUUGACGGAGCCGUCAAUCUUUGUGAAAUGAAGGUUCCGCCCAUGAGAGGGUCUACGCAGUGUACAAUUAUUAUUGCGGUUGAUAGGCGUUGAGCUGUCAUUAGACGCUUCGUGCCAAGAAUGGAUGGUUCGCUAGAACUGGUGAAAGGCAACAAAGACCGGUUGCAAUACACGGCUGAAAUUCGAUUAGCUGCCUAUAGUAUUGCCAAGACCUUCUCUAGAGGAGACGUACAAAAAGCUUCUAUGAGCUAAACUUCGAUUCAAAAAGCCUGUGGUCAACGUCUACUGUAGAGUUGGUAUUAUGCAAGACAUUCGGCAGCGCAUAAAACGCCAUGAAUGUAACACAGCACGAUCGCGACGGCCUCGUCAUCCUAGGAAUUCCAGAUCCGUAUGUCGCGCCACGUUACCAACGAAGGACUCAUCACAACAUCCACCUCUUGAUCAUGAACAGGCAGUUGGUGAUGAAGGUUUGGGAAACCUGCAGCUGUCGCCAGUUGCAAGCUCGGAACUACGUAUUUGUCGCGCACGUGACAAUUGUAAUUCAUUAUCACAAUAUUUAAAUUUAAUUUGUAGUAACAGGUGAAAUAGAUUUCCAAGCUGCAGGGUUAGCGACAGCUGCAGGUAUAGCGUACCCACUUCCACGCAACAGGUGCAUGCUUUUGAACAAUCAUGACAAUGGGCUACCCCGUGGCGCUGGGACUUCCAGCUAAACGACAGAUUCUUUUUUGAUUGAAAUAAUUCAAAUUAUCGAUGGGAAGACGAUUCUACCUGGAAGCAGAAGAAGACAACUGCCACCAAGGGCACUAAAUCAGGAAAAAAUUAUAUGGAAUCAAGAAAACUGUAGAAUAAUUUAACUUGUGAUUUUGUAAUUAUUUUGAUAAUAAAGGAAAUUUCUGCA